GUAGGUGAACCUGCGGAAGGAUCAUUAGUGAAUAUUAGAGCAUCUGAUUUAUCAGAGCUCGACCCUCCACUUUCUAACUCUGUGCAUCUUAUUGGCGGCAAUAAUGUUAUAAGUCUUGGACGGUUUGUUCAUUUCUAAACAUUAUUGCUGCGUCUUCAUUUUAAAACACUAGUACAAGUAUGUAACGAAAUAUCGAAAUAAAAAAAAACUUUCAACAACGGAUCUCUUGGCUCUC
rnacentral:misc_RNA from 1 species